UACCUUUGCAACCGAAUUAGGAAACACCUAUUUCAUACAUAAAAAUCAUUUAAAAUAAUAUUGGAAUG
rnacentral:ncRNA from 1 species